AGACAUUGUUGGUGAGAGCACUAACCACGGUGAUCUUCCUUUAGUGAGAUUCUGAGGUUGCUGGAGAUGUUUCUGUGUGUAAUAUGAUCAGGGAUUGUAUUAGUGGAGAUUGAUCUUGGGUCAGAUCUGAAAUUGUUGGAGGAAGCUAAGGACUUUGUUUCGGGAGCAUCUCGAUGUCGGAUUUCGAGACACGAUUGACAGAUAAAG